AGGUGGUUUUUCUGUCCUUCAAUUUUCAACUAUUGAUCUUGAGAAAAAACUAGCUGAACUAAUCAUGAAGCUUCAGAGGCUCAGAAUGAAAGGUAUUUUGCUUCCCCCUGAACUCUUUAUUGCUGAUCUUGAAGAUGACCUAGAAAGACUACGUGAAAAACUUAACAGACUCAGAAUGACAGGUAGAUCACAUCCCCUCGUUUCCACCAUUGAAGUAGAACUCGGCGAACUACUCAAGCAACUUCGGAAAUGGUGGAAGGAAGGUG